AACCAGAGGCUACAGGGGUGUCUACUACCUCGAAGAAGAUUGUGUGUGUAUGUGUGGAUCAGAACUCAACUGAACUUGAAAUGCCAGGCCUGCUGUUUCACACGCUCUGGACAUCAUGAAGACAGUUUUCCCUCCUAGCCUCGGCUCCUACUGUAGCAGUGAGAUGAACCUGCAUCUAAGGGGGCUUGCUCAGGGUCUCUCUACUGGCUGUUCUGGAACUUACUAUAUAGAUGAGACUAGCUUUGAACUCACAGAGAUCCAUCUGUUUCUGCCCCCUGAGUGCUGGGAUCAAAGGGUAAGAUCAGGGAAUGAGCAAUGUGGUCGACUGCCAGUGACUAAGUCAGCGGGGCAGACUAUCCAGCCAAGCAGUUACCAAGUUGUCUGAAGGUUAAUGCCAACAACGAGAUCAAUACAUUAGCAAAGGCAACCACACUUCCUGCCAGAGGAAAGCAAGUGUUUCUAGAAAGUGGCCCAGAUCUGGACUCAGAAGAUGCACUGUGAGGACAUCCAAACCGCUCGGUCUCAGUCCUGGAUGAGAGGAGGUGCCAGCUGAGACCAGGGUCUGCUCAGGCGCAUUUGCUCACCACCUAUGGGAUGCCAAGUGCCUCCAUGGACUCUCAGAGAAGACUGGGUGUGUUCAGGACGCUAUGGCCAUGAUACAUAUUCUAAGUGUACAUUGAGGGCAACGAGGAGAAUCUGCUGAAGGCCUUGCAGGCCUCACCUGGGUGUCCUGCCCGAUAGAAUAGACUGAGGACAAUGAGACACAGGCUAGAGGCUUGUUCUUGGACAGACCCUCUGCCCUGAGCUCCACAUAAACACUUAGUGGGCUCUCAUUCCAGUCAGCAUGAGGCCUGCCUCAUCCUGAACUCAGCAAUCUCACUGUGGGGCCUUUUACCUUAUGAUCUCCCAUUGCCAUCCAAAGAGCUUGUGCUUGAUCUCCAGCCACCGGUUAAUACUCACAGGUCUUACUCAUGUUUCCGCAUCCUCUGCAUCCUUCAUUCUGUACCACACUGCCUCAGAGGAGUGAUCCAUCACCUCUCUGAUUUCCAGGAGAGCAAUGAGAGGACACAAAGGGAAGUUGCCAAGUCACCUAAAAUAACACCAGCUGAACCUUCCAGUGCCUCUGUCCUCUAGAAUUCCUAUAUGUCCCCUCCUUGGUAAGUGGCACACAUAGACGAGAUUGAACACUCACUGUCCCUAAGGCCUCUGAGCACUCUGUGGACUUGAACUCUCUAGAACCGAAGACUACUUUCUCCUAGGAGGCUUGCUCAGUUCAGUCUGAGGUGGCCUUGAGUCAGGACUUUGCUUUGCUAUCUCAGGGCUAUCUGUGAUCCCGUUACGUUAUAACAGGAGGUGUGCUUCAUUUGGUGUCCAUGUUGGUUGGAUUCCUGUUACUACUUUUAUGUGAUGGGGCCUCUCAUCCCAACCUUAUGCCCAUGGUGCACACCAAUGCAGACAGUCACAAUGAAGCUUGGUGACCUUGGGGCUAACUUUUCUACUUUAUAGGUGAGAAAAGUCAGACUUUAAGGGCUUAAAAGAGCUUCUAGAAGCCACAGAGAUGGUCAACCAGUCACACCUAUGAACCUCUCAUCUCGAAAUGUAAUGUUUUUCCCAUGUAAAUGCAGCCUUGUCAGCCAAACUGUCCCCAAGGUGGACUAUGUUGCUGAGAGCUACGUGUGGUUUCCAGGGACAUGGGGGAGGCAGGCUGUAGGUCAGCUGCUCAGUGGCCUACCGUUGCUUCUGAUAUCAGGUUGUUCUAAAACCCAGGGAACCCUUGAUCAUCUAAGGGACCUGAGUCAUGUCCCCACCCCUACACACACACACACACACACACACACACACACACACUUCAAACCAUAAGCUGGAGUUCUAACCACAGAGUGUGACGGUUUGGAGGUACCAGACCUAGAGCCUUAAAGAGAUUCCGUCAAAGUGAGAUCAUGGGGGUGGCCCUCAUGAAGGCUGACUCAGUCCUAAUAUGAAGAGAUGAGGAUUUAAGCUCACAGGAAGAUGGAAGCCCAUGAGGACAAGGGGGAA
rnacentral:lncRNA from 1 species